AUUUUGGAAGAGACACUGAAAUGAAAGUGAGAAGAGUGGCUGAUUAAAACACAUCAGAAAGUUGCCAAGUAAGCACAUUUAUGUUAGCAAGCUCUAAACAAACAGAUUUUUUAAAAGUUAUUUACAGAAGAAAAGAAAGUUUUUAUUCUGCAACACAGUUUGUAUUGCCUCUGGUUGCUUCCAUAGAGCAAGGUGUGAAUGGAAUGACAACACACUGUUCAAACUAUUAAAAU
rnacentral:lncRNA from 1 species